rnacentral:rRNA from 1 species
AAGAAAGUAAGAAAGGGCGCAUGGCGGAUGCCUUGGCUCACGGAGGCGAUGAAGGACGUGAUAAGCUGCGAUA